rnacentral:rRNA from 1 species
UACGUAGGGACCAAGCGUUGUUCGGAUUUACUGGGUUUAAAGGGUGCGUAGGCGGACAGGUAAGUCAGUGGUGAAAUCUCCGAGCUUAACUCGGAAACUGCCUUUGAUACUCUCUGUCUUGAAUAUGGUGGAGGUAAGCGGAAUAUGUCAUGUAGCGGUGAAAUGCUUAGAGAUGACAUAGAACACCUAUUGCGAAGGCAGCUUACUACGCCUAUAUUGACGCUGAGGCACGAAAGCGUGGGGAUCAAACAGG